CAGUAGCCGCGGUAAUACGAAGGGUGCAAGCGUUACUCGGAAUUACUGGGCGUAAAGCGUGCGUAGGUGGUGGUUUAAGUCCGUUGUGAAAGCCCUGGGCUCAACCUGGGAAUUGCAGUGGAUACUGGGUCGCUAGAGUGUGGUAGAGGAUAGUGGAAUUUCCGGUGUAGCAGUGAAAUGCGUAGAGAUCGGAAGGAACAUCUGUGGCGAAGGCGACUAUCUGGGCCAACACUGACACUGAGGCACGAAAGCGUGGGGAGCAAACAGGAUUAGAUACCCGGGUAGUCCCUGUCUCUUAUAC
rnacentral:rRNA from 1 species